GACCUUGUGGCUUAGUGGUUAUUGCGUCGACGAGUAUUUGCACCGCUUUCAUUAAAUUGCACUCUGUCGAGGUCGUAGGUUCCAAUCCUACCAAGGUCA